AGAUGUGGAAACCUGGCUGCAGGGAUUUGCUCCCAUUCAGUCACAAGAGCAUUAUGGAGCGUUUUCCCCACAGGACCUUUCCCAGGGGACCAAGAACCUUUGGAAAAAUUAAAGUUUGACCUUCUGCCUGAUUAUUUGGCGUUUGGGUUCCUGUCUGCUUCUUGUUGGAUUCGUUUGCCUGUUUUGGACCUCCUCUCUGGUUUUGACCCUCACACGUCUCAUGGUCCCGCGAUCGGGUCAACAUCUCUUCCACGUCAAAAUGAGCUCUCAGAUCAGUGACAGCACGUGAAAACAUCACUCAGCAGAAGGGACUUAACGCAAACAUAACAACAACUUGAUAUUUAUAUCAAAAGCAUCUUGGGAGCUGCUGGCUUAGCCGGUGUAAUCAGGUUAGCGAAACGUCUCCUGAGGGGGAAGUAAUCUACUUUGAUGCUCUGUCUGCUACCAAAACAUUGAAUCUGUGUCAGGCUGCAGCUAGCAACCAGUCCAGCCCACUCUGUAAUUCAAUUACAGUAGUCGACUCAUGUCCUACUUAACGUCCAGGCAGCCAACGGCCUGAUUACGGAAGCCACAAAUUGUCAAAUACAAAACCUGAAUAAACAUUUAUGUCUUUCAAAACUAGGAGGGUUGUAAUUAUCCUUCCGUAAUGUUAUUUCACAGGACAGAUGAAGUGCAGCACAGGAGUUCACGUAGAAAUUCAAACAGUUCUUCCUGCUGCAAUUAGACUUCUC